rnacentral:lncRNA from 1 species
AGAUUCGUUAAAUUUAUCAAAUACAUCGCCCUCCGGCGUCGUCGUGAACUAUGACUCAUUCCGGCUAUAUAAUCGGCGAUUUCAUGCUCCUGAGCGCGGCGGUGAAGCCAUGGAUGGCGUCUCCAGUAUUUCUCGAGCUCGUGUUGCCAUUGUUCUACACAAAUCCUGUAACUAUUCCUUUUUUAUUUAUUAUUAUAUCAAUUACAUUUGAUUCAGCUCUAUUUAUGCUUGAAUCGUCUUUUAUCUGUAUAUGAAUAAUCCGUGUGUACAUAUAAAUUCCUACUCUGUCUCUAUCUUUGAUCUCUCUUUCUCAUUUCUCUUGGACUUUGAACUCUUGUUCUGUUGCCUUGUCCUGUAGAAGCAUGCUUGAAUCUGAUGUUGAAGAACUAAGUAGUGUUUGAAACCAUAGAGCAGAGGCUUUAGGGAUCCUUGUGAGAUUGUUCUUGUAGUCCACGUAGUAGAUCCCAAACCGGACUGUGUAUCCUGAGUUCCAUUCCCAAUUGUCUAGCAAUGACCACACAAAGUAUCCUCUUACAUCGCAUCCAUCAUUCCUGCAAAUUUGCACUUUCAUUUUAAACUCAAGACUCUUUGUGAAAGAAUGAAUCUUUGGUAAGUCAAAACACUUUACCUUAUGGCAGCUGAUAAGUUUGAUAGGUAAUCUCUGUGGAAGCUAAUCCUCUUGUCAUCUUCUAAUGCUUUCUCCAUGUCUAUGAAUGGAUUGUUUUUCUCAUCCAUGCCUGUGAUAUCACCACCUUCAAUGUUAAAAGAUCUGAUUUUUUUUUAUUGAUAUUGUUUUGGGAUUUGAGAUGUUUACCGUUUUCUGUGAUGAUUACAGGUGGGUUUCCAUACAUGUCUUUAACAUACACUGCCAGUUUCCUGAUUCCCCAUGGGACAAUGUGUAGCCAGCUUGAUCCAGCCUGAUUCAAGUUAGUUUUUUUUCUUAUCAGAUAAUUGUUUAGUUUCAUUUUAGUGAACAUGUCAUCAGAGAAAUACAUACUCUUUCUCCUAUAGCUAUUCCUCCACGAUAAGCUACAACAUUUAGAAGCAAACAAAGAGUAGGAACAUCAGCUUAGUUUUUUUGGUUUUGUAGCAGAGAAUGAUAUGAGAACUGGUUUUGUUUCUUACAGCUUGUAAUCACGGCUGAAUCAGAAGAAGCAUCUUGCAGAAUCAGUUUCCUUAUCCUAGUUCUGUCGUUCCUCGCAUAUAAUGUGGUGUAGUGGUUGAUCCCCACGUAAUCAAAUGCCCCUUUUAUAGCUUUAGACAUCUCUGGUGUUAUCUUAGGUAGUCUCUCUUCCACUAGACUCUUCAUUGAAGCUGGAUAGUCUCCAUAGAUUAGAGGAUCCAUAAACCUAUAUCAAAUCUCAUUCUGUCACUUUUGACUUUCUCUCAAGUAAACUUCUCUACGCAAAUAUUCACAGAUAAAAGGAUUUUAUAUUUACCAUCCAAUCCCAAAAUCCAUGGCUCUUCGAGCUGCAUCUUUGUCCUCAUCACAAUCAGUCAUUGGCUCAUACCAUUUUGCAUCUAAUGCUAUCCCUAUUUGACCAUGUUGUUUCUCCUUCCAUAUAGAAAAUUCCCACAUUUUAUUCUGCUCUUAGAAUCAUAAGAUUUUGUUCUGUUUUGUUUUCUUACCUUGAAGUUUCUAUGGUAGGUGUGGUAAGCAGCAGCAUGAGACAGAAGAAUGUUAUGAGCUACAAUGUAUGGUUCCACCGAUGACGUCCCCUUCUUACAAAACCAAUGUCCCAGAAGUGAGCACCUCCCUGGAGCCUGUAUCCCUGUGUCAUAGCCUUGGAUCGAUACACCGUGAGGCUCAUUGAAAGUGACCCAGUGCUUCACUCUAUCUCCAAAUGCUUUAAAACAGGUGAAUGCAUAAUGCUCAAAAUCAUCCCUGCACCAUUUAUUUAGCUUUUUGAUUUCGUAAUCAUCUCACCAUAUCAAGAUUUCACAUUUUUAUCAAAAGAUCAUAUACUCACACGACUUCUCUGCUUAGCCAUCCUUCAUAUCUGUCUUCUAAAGCUUGUGGGAGAUCCCAGUGAUACAAUGUCACAUAAGGUUUGAUUCCUUUGGCUAAAAGAGCAUCUAUUAGGCU